UACAGAGGUCUCAAGCGUUGUUCGGAUUCAUUGGGCGUAAAGGGUGCGUAGGCGGCGCGGUAAGUCGGGUGUGAAAUCUUGGAGCUUAACUCCGAAACUGCAUUCGAUACUGCCGUGCUUGAGGACUGGAGAGGAGACUGGAAUUUACGGUGUAGCGGUGAAAUGCGUAGAUAUCGUAAGGAAGACCAGUGGCGAAGGCGGCUCACUGGUCCAUUACUGACGCUGAGGUGCGAAAGCGUGGGGAGCAAACAGG
rnacentral:rRNA from 1 species